rnacentral:rRNA from 1 species
AAUGAACGCUGGCGGCGUGCCUAACACAUGCAAGUCGAGCGAGAAAGUUCCCUUCGGGGAGCGAGUACAGCGGCGGACGGGUGAGUAACGCGUGGACGAUCUACCCAAGGAUUCGGGAUAACCUUGCGAAAGCGGGGCUAAUACCGAAUGGUCUGGGCAUUUUGAAAUGUGCCUGGUAGAGGUGGCCUCUGAUUCAAGCUAUCGUCUUUGGAUGGGUCCGCGUCCCAUUAGCUUGUUGGUAGGGUCAAGGCCUACCAAGGCGACGAUGGGUAGCUGGUCUGAGAGGAUGAUCAGCCACACUGGGACUGGAACACGGCCCAGACUCCUACGGGAGGCAGCAGUGGGGAAUAUUGGGCAAUGGGCGCAAGCCUGACCCAGCAACGCCGCGUGAGGGAAGAAGGUCUUCGGAUCGUAAACCUCAGUCAGGAGGGAAGAAAUGGGUUGUCCUGAACAGGGAUGGCCUUUGACGGUACCUCCAGAGGAAGCACCGGCCAACUCCGUGCCAGCAGCCGCGGUAAUACGGAGGGUGCAAGCGUUAUUCGGAAUCACUGGGCGUAAAGCGCACGUAGGCGGCUUUGCAAGUCAGUGUGAAAGCCCUCGGCUCGACCGAGGAAUUGCACUUGAAACUGUAGAGCUCGAGUUCGGGAGAGGGUGGCGGAAUUCCAGUGUAGGAGUGAAAUCCGUAGAUAUCUGGAGGACACCAGAGCGAAGGCGCCACCUGGACCGAAACUGACGCUGAGGUGCGAAAGCGUGGGGAGCAAA